AGUGGCAAUUUCAUUUUGUUAUUAAUUUACUUUACUGAAACUCCACAAGUUAGUUAUUAGUACACUGUGUUUUUGGUAUAUUCGAGUCACUCUGCGGACAAUUAGUAUUUUCAGGAGCACUUGCUGUGGAAAUGAUAGUCAUCUUCCCUUCUGCCUCUGCUGGAGAAGCUACAUGCAUGUUCUGAAGAGAGAACUGUCCAGUUUUCAUUUGAUCGGAUUGAGGAUGCAGCCUAAACAAUCUUGCUAAAUACAUGAAGCUAGGAUAGCCUUCACCAAUGAUGACAAUGCACUGGAACUGCCAGCUGCACUGGGAACUUUCACAGAGCAGGCCUCCUGCUCCCACGUGUCUCACAGUGAUUAGGCAGAGAAGACCAUAUCAUCUGUCACCAUCAACCGUGUCUCUCUUUCUGUACGGGAUACAGAGAAGGAGCUCUCCACCUUAUGUUACAGAAUGAGCAGGUGCUGCUUCCAAUUCAGGAUUCGCUCGCAUUUGCCGUGCAAAACAGAUAAUUUCUCCAAACAAGGCUUCUGUCUUUCCAAAUAUCGCUUCGCAUGAAAGAAAUACGACCCUAUACGCCAAGGAAGCGGAACCUGCAGUUCUACAGAUGAUGGAACCAUUAACCCCAGUCAGCAUGGCCAAUAGUCAGGGAAGAUGGGAGCUGGAGUCCCACCAACAUCUGGAGGGCCACCAUUUCCAUAAGAAGAGACCUGGUGGAUCAGGCUAAUGGCCCAUCUUGUCCAGCAUCAUAAUGACCAAACAGAUCCCUACGGGAAGCUGAAAAGCAGGAUCUGAAUACAACAGCACUCUCUCUACCUGAAACUGCUAGCAACUGGAAUUCAGAGGUAUACCGUAUUUUUCCGUG